CCCAGGCGGGGACGCUCCUUCCCAGACCGGACGCUCCUUCCCAGUCGGGGACGCUCCUUCCCAGACGAGGACGCUCCUUCCCAGUCGGGGACGCUCCUUCCCAGACGGGGACGCUCCUUCCCAGGCGGGGACGCUCCUUCCCAGACCGGACGCUCCUUCCCAGGCGGGGACGCUCCUUCCCAGACCGGACGCUCCUUCCCAGGCGGGGACGCUCCUUCCCAGACCGGACGCUCCUUCCCAGGCGGGGACGCUCCUUCCCAGACCGGACGCUCCUUCCCAGGCGGGGACGCUCCUUCCCAGACCGGACGCUCCUUCCCAGGCGGGGACGCUCCUUCCCAGACCGGACGCUCCUUCCCAGACAGGGACGCUCCUUCCCAGACCGGACGCUCCUUAAAAGACGGGGACGCUCCUUCCCAGACCGGACGCUCCUUGCCAGACGUGGACGCUGCUUCCCAGACCGGGACGCUCCUUGCCAGACGUGGACGCUCCUUCCCAGACUGGGACGCUCCUUGCCAGACGGGGACGCUCCUUCCCAGACGAGGACGCUCCUUUCCCGACCGGGACGCUCCUUGCCAGACGGGGACGCUCCUUCCCAGACCGGGACGCUCCUUCCCAGACCGGAUGCUCCUUCCCAGACGGGACGCUCCUUCCCAGACCGGACGCUACUUCCUAGACCGGGACGCUCCCUUGGUUCAGCAGGCCAAGUGCACUGGGUUUACUGCAGCAGAGAGAGCUCUCCGAUGGUCUUUCUUUGUUGAGUUUCAACAAUUUGGAGGUCCUGCCUAGACUCUGUUGAGAUCCCCUUCUCCACACACAAUGUGGUGAUAAGGAGCACAUCUGAGAAUCCUUGGGUUUGCACUCAUUCAAAGCCACUUGCCCAAAAUGAUGAGGGGCACCAUGACCUGAUCCACGUAGAGGGCUGCAAGAACAAAGGAUUCAGAACAAAGAAGUCUGCACCAACCAACCAGAUCCGCUCCCCCUUUUUAGCAGACAAGGAGCCUGAAUUCUGACUUUGGGAAGAUGGUUCUCCAGGACAUUAGUCUGCCAUCUUCUUGGCCUGCUGACUUUAUGAAUAAAGUCGCUAUUCCUUGCCCCAACA